CUGAGUGAGGGCCCUCGUGGUCCGACCUCCAACCCUUUGUCGUCCGACUCUGUUGCCUCGGGGGCGUCCCCGGCGUUCGCGCCAGGGGCCCCCGGCGGUCCACACAACUCUGCAUCUUUGCGUCUGAGUAAACAUUAAAUGAAACA
rnacentral:misc_RNA from 1 species